UUGGGGAAGCAAAAUUAACAUCAAAAUACAAACAACACCAGGACAAUCCUCAGCCCUCUCCACCAAGUAUUUCAAGCAGGACAUCUCAUUGAACCUCGUCAUUUUGUUUAGGAUGGCUAGUGAGCUCCUGCAGGGGGCCUGUCUGCUCCCCAGCCCUGGAAUUACAUGGGCAUCUCCAUCUUUUACAUGGGUGCGACGGUUCAAAACUCUUGGUUCUCCUGCUUGUGCUCCAAGCACUUUACUUACUGAUCAAUUUAUUUCUCCAGCCCCUUGUCCUACUCCCUUGAUGUCCUCCCUCCCCCAUUCUGUAAAACAGAAGCCAGGUACUGUGGCAAACACCUUUAAUACCAGUACCCAAGAGUCAGAGGCAGGCUGAUCUCUGAGUUCUAGGUCAGCUUCUACAGAGGGAGUACCAGGACAGCCAGGUAGAGAUCCUGUAAAUUAAAAAAAAAA
rnacentral:lncRNA from 1 species